CCCUUUUCUCCUCCCCCUUUCCUUUCUUUUGCCUCCCCUCCCUCUCGCCCGGUGUCGGCGGCACUUCCCCCGCUUCCUCCUCCCUCUCCAAUCGGGAGGGAGGGAAGGAGCCACCGGCUCUUUCCUGCCUGCCUGCAAACUUCAGCGGGACUCCCGGCUCUCGCCGCCGCGGCCACUGCCGCCCGCUCGGGAGCUGCUCCGGGAACUUCCUUUCGCUGCGCGGCAGGGCAAUCCCGGCUGGUGGGAGGACGCCACCAGGCGCCGGGCGGCUUGGACCCCCGAUCCCUUUCCUGGGCUACUGCCCGCCUGCGAGUCCGCUAGUCUGUCGGUGCGUCCUUCCUGCCCGGCCUCUCCCCCGCCGGCAGGAGCCGCGGAGCUUCCCCUCGGCGCCCAGCCGCUGCCUGGGACCUUUCUUUGUGUUGCAUGCAGACUCGCGCCCCGCGCCGACGGGGGGCGGAUUAAGGGCUGCGCUCGCCCGGGGCGGCCCGCGGCGCCGCCGGCCGGAGCCGCCCCCCGCCUCGCGCCAUGCCCUUCCACCAGAGGACCGUGGAGCCCGCGCGGUUGCGCCGGCCCGAGUUGGUGGAGGCCGGGGCCGCGGGCGCGCCACUCUUCCGCUCGCUGGAGCAGGUCAGCUCGCAUGCCCUAGUCUGCCUGCUGGCGCAGCUGGCCGACCUGUCGCGCUGCGCCGGAGACAUCUUCGGCGAGCUCGAGGGCCAGGCAGUCGCGUUGGGCCAACGCACAGCUGAGUUGCACCGCCGCCUGGAAGCCCUGCACGCCGCCGCCGCGCGCCUGGACCA
rnacentral:lncRNA from 1 species